CUCCUGGGACCCUGGUUGGAGCUGGGAGUGCAUUAUACUCCCGAAUCCCUCUCUGGCUUCCAAUCUCAGCACAUGAGUGCUCACUUUUUCUCCUACACAGUACUGACUUUGUGAUGACAUGAAACCCUAUCCAUAGUCAAGUAGUUGCUGGGCCAUGACCUUGACUCUCCAGAAUGUGCGUGGAAGCGUUGGAGAUUCUAGCCUGUCUUAGAAGAAUUCAAGGUGCCUGUCCAGGCCAGGGCUUGACAAAGGCAGCCUGGUGGUCGGCAAAAUAAAUGCAGAUGACCCCCAAGAGGGAGAAGAAGAAGAUACCCUGCAACAGAAAAUACUGUGUUUCCAACCUAAGUGAAGACACUGUGCACAUGGGCAAGUGUUUGGUCAGUGCAGCAGGGCCUACUAGAGACUGAACUGAGCCGAAUUUGUUCCCUGCCUCACGUGCCCCUCUGCCUCCUUCUACUCUUCUGGUUUUUGUCCAAAACCCUCUCUAGGGAUUCAGGCCUGCUCCUUUGAUCUGGACUCUUCUGUGGUGGUGGCUGUGGAAUGGACUGACCUUAGCUUGGCUGAGAGUCCUGGGGGGAGGGGGGUCCCCUCUCCCUUUCUCACCCUCUAACAGCUAUUAAUGGCUUUCUGCCCUGCCCAUAACCACCUCUGACCCCUCAGCUCUGGCAA